rnacentral:rRNA from 1 species
CAGUCGCCGCGGUAACACCGAGGGUGCGAGCGUUAAUCGGAUUUACUGGGCGUAAAGCGUGCGUAGGCGGCUUCUUAAGUCGGAUGUGAAAUCCCUGAGCUUAACUUAGGAAUUGCAUUCGAUACUGGGAAGCUAGAGUAUGGGAGAGGAUGGUAGAAUUCCAGGUGUAGCGGUGAAAUGCGUAGAGAUCUGGAGGAAUACCGAUGGCGAAGGCAGCCAUCUGGCCUAAUACUGACGCUGAGGUACGAAAGCAUGGGGAGCAAACAGGAUUAGAUACCCGAGUAGUCCCUGUCUCUUAUAC